GGGCAUAUAAGGGUGUUGUCUCACAAUACUUCAUCUUUAUGAUGUGCAAGAGUGAUUCCAUCCCAUAUAACUCAGGACUGUAGCUAGAAGUGAAGCUUGCAUUUCGUACUGGGGAAGGAGGCUGGAUGUGCGUGCUCUGAACUGUGAAGUCCACUGGACAUGAAAUGGCAGCAUGAUCUGCAGCCCAUCUCUACAUGUGCUUCAGUCUGGAGAAACAGCUAAUUAUAUAUCUUCUACACUCUACUGUAAUUAUUAUGUCUCCAGAAACAAAAUUUAUGUGCUGUCAUGAAAGAGUCUGUUUAUGCUACUGCAGCCCUUCAGGAAGGAAAAAUGCUCAUGAACCUGGAGAUCCAUGUGAGCAAGGCCAGAAGAUGAGUGGGGCUCUCUGCUGAAGAAAUACAGUUGUGCCUCAUUGCUGCUGUUGCCCUCUGACUAGCAGAAAACGUACUGAGCUCAGGAACAUCCCUGCAAACAGACACUGGUUCUUGCUCUUGCUUGUUCUGCACAGCCCCUGCCUGGGACCUGGUAGGAGUGUGAAGCCAAAUUUCCGUUACAUUAGAAGUGUGGAUCAUGAAAUUUGGUCUGGGACAGGCUGGUGACUGUUCUCAGACAGCAAAAAGCUUUGUUUCAAGGUAUUUAAAAAACAUUUCACAGGGCCAUGGGGAGGAGCAGGGGAAACCUUGCUUGUUCAGCUUUUCUGUCUGAAGCCAAAAACUUCCCUAGGGUUUCAUAAGUUUUGGAUAUGGGGUGCAUAAUGUAACUGAAAGUUUGUACUUUCUGACUAAUAAAGGAUUUCCUCAGAAAAAAACAUUCUAGGUAGCAUUGAAGCACAUGGCAGAAUAUCAUGAAUAUGCUGCAAUAUUUAGGUUUAAGGUGAAAU